ACCCUUCCACCAAAUAUAGCCAUAUCCAACAACACCCACGACAACAAUUACACCAUAUCUACUAGCACCUGCACAUUAUAAACACGUCUAAGAACACCACAGAGAAAGACCAAAGACAAAUUCAAUACAUCACAAGAACUUCAACAAAAAUAAGUAGAGAUUUGUCAUUUUAGCUAAAGGAAUUCAAGAGUAGGAAUAAGAAAGACAUGGUCUAAGACUUCUCAAGAUAUGGAACAUCAUAGUAUUUUUUUCCCUUUUUU
rnacentral:misc_RNA from 1 species